rnacentral:rRNA from 1 species
CCCGCUGAACUUAAGCAUAUCAGUAAGCGGAGGAAAAGAAAGCAACUGCGAUUCCCCUAGUAACUGCGAGUGAAGAGGGAAAAGCUCAAAACUGAAUCGAGCGCAACAUGUUUGCGUUUCGAAUUGUAGUUUAUAAGUAGGUAUCGGGGUCUGGUAUCCGGUUAAGUCUGCUGGAACGCAACGCCACAGAGGGUGAGAGCCCCGUGACCUGGAUUUCUGGUCUCCAUAUGUUACUUACUUGUCGAGUCACACUGUUUGAGAGUACAGUGUAAAGUGGGAGGUGAAUUCCUCCUAAAGCUAAAUAUAACUCCUACUCCGAUAGCAAACAAGUACCGCAAGGGAAAGUUGCAAAGAACUUUGAAAAUAGAGUUAAAAGACCUGAAACCUUUAAUGGGGAAGGGCUGAAGCGAGACGCGCUAACGGGUACCUCUAGUGCCACAUCACGGAGCUUGUGUGUCCUUGUGGUCUUUUGCUGAGUCCCAAGGGCAUGGAAGGUAGAGGGAUGUGGUACCUAAUUGUAUCCAGGCGGUCCGUAUGGCUUUGUGGUUCACUAGAAACGUCCUGUACGAACCCAGGACUUCGGUCUUGGUAGUACAGGUCGCCCUAGGGUUCCACAAGGUUAACAUCUCGGUGUUGGCACGCGCCUUUUGGCAGCAAAUCAUCCAAAAUCAGUGCUUCAGAAGCUACCUCGAGAAAUCGUGGUGGUGGAUGGAGUGCUGGUGGAGGGUGACGAGCAGCGUGCUCAAUCAAUACGGUCAGAGUCGUCGGACUUCAGCCUCCCGUCUUGAAACACGG